AGUGAACGCUGGCGGUAGGCCUAACACAUGCAAGUCGAACGGCAGCACAGUAAGAGCUUGCUCUUACGGGUGGCGAGUGGCGGACGGGUGCGGAAUACACCGGAAUCUACUUUUUCGCGGGGGAUAACGUAGGGAAACUUACGCUAAUACCGCAUACGACCUACGGGUGAAAGCAGGGGAUCUUCGGACCUUGCGCGAUUGAAUGAGCCGAUGUCGGAUUAGCUAGUUGGCGGGGUAAAGGCCCACCAAGGCGACGAUCCGUAGCUGGUCUGAGAGGAUGAUCAGCCACACUGGAACUGAGACACGGGCCAGCCUCCUACGGGAGGCAGCAGUGGGGAAUAUUGGACAAUGGGCGCAAGCCUGAUCCAGCCAUACCGCGUGGGUGAAGAAGGCCUUCGGGUUGUAAAGCCCUUUUGUUGGGAAAGAAAAGCAGCAGGUUAAUACCCCGCUGUUCUGACGGUACCCAAAGAAUAAGCACCGGCUAACUUCGUG
rnacentral:rRNA from 1 species